AACGAACGCUGGCGGCAUGCCUAACACAUGCAAGUCGAACGAACCCUUCGGGGUUAGUGGCGCACGGGUGCGUAACGCGUGGGAAUCUGCCCUUUGCUUCGGAAUAACAGUUAGAAAUGACUGCUAAUACCGGAUGAUGUCUUCGGACCAAAGAUUUAUCGGCAAGGGAUGAGCCCGCGUAGGAUUAGGUAGUUGGUGGGGUAAAGGCCUACCAAGCCGACGAUCCUUAGCUGGUCUGAGAGGAUGAUCAGCCACACUGGGACUGAGACACGGCCCAGACUCCUACGGGAGGCAGCAGUGGGGAAUAUUGGACAAUGGGCGCAAGCCUGAUCCAGCAAUGCCGCGUGAGUGAUGAAGGCCUUCGGGUCGUAAAGCUCUUUUACCAGGGAUGAUAAUGACAGUACCUGGAGAAUAAGCUCCGGCUAACUCCGUGCCAGCAGCCGCGGUAACAC
rnacentral:rRNA from 1 species